CUUUAAUGUAAUAUUGAAUACAGAUUUAGACAAAAUAAGUUUUUAGAUUUUGUAUUUGUAAAUAAAAGGAUUUUUGCUUAUUAAUGAAAUUAGCAUUUAAUUAGAGACUGGUAUUAUUACUAUAUGAGUUAUUGCAAAUGAAAGUGGUUAAAGUCCUGUAAGGAACUAAGGAAAAGUGGUACCUGGAGGUGGUUGCCGGACGUUGGUGGUGUCGUUUGGGUCUGGUCAGUUUCAUCGUCACUUCGUUAAUAAUAAAAAAAAAUGAAGAAAAAUAUUUUAAAAUUAAAACUUGUUUAAUUGUGAUAAUUUUUUGGUUUGUUUUGAAUUACUAAUUUGUAAAAUUUGUUGAUUUAUUAAUUUGUAAAAUUUUGAUAAUUUGUAGUAACUGAUUAUGUAAAUUGCGUAUACUAUUUAACCCGUUGUGGGGCGUUGUACUAGACAGACACUCCUGCCUUAUCCUGCCGUACUGUUAGUGUGAAGUUAAGAAUUGCUGUGGUGUUAUUGUGACUUGGUGGACUUUGAAUGUUUAAGGAACGUAUUCGUUGGCAUUUUAUGUGGAGUUGCUUUUGGUGCAACAAGGACUUGGUUUUGGCAGGAUUGUGGAUCAUUCAUAGUUUUUCUUAUUGUAAGUUUCUAAUCCUCAUCUUUGAUUAAAAUAAAAUUUAUAGUUAUGGAGAAAUGUUUUUGUGGCAUAGAAUAUUUUAUUAAUUGGUUAAAGGAGAUGGAACCAGAGGUGACGAUAAAGAUUUGGUCAGAACAACCAGAUGACGCGGUGGGGGCACGGGGUCCGACCCGUAGGGGAAGUAGGGGUUUCGGCCCAUUCUUUCCAGUCCAUUUAUUUUUAAAUCGAGAUAUUUGGUGGUUUGCAUUUGUAUUGAUUCAAAAACAUUGAUAAUGUUGGC
rnacentral:lncRNA from 1 species